GAUGAAGAACGCAGCGAAAUGCGAUAUGUAGUGUGAAUUGCAGAAUUCAGUGAAUCAUCGAAUCUUUGAACGCACAUUGCGCCCUUUGGUAUUCCAAAGGGCAUGCCUGUUCGAGCGUCAUUUGUACCCUCAAGCUUUGCUUGGUGUUGGGCGUCUUGUCUCCAGUCCGCUGGAGACUCGCCUUAAAGUCAUUGGCAGCCGGCCUACUGGUUUCGGAGCGCAGCACAAGUCGCACUCUUUUCCAGCCAAGGUCAGCGUCCAACAAGCCUUUUUUCAACUUUUGACCUCGGAUCAGGUAGGGAUACCCGCUGAACUUAAGCAUAUCAAUAAGCGGAGGA
rnacentral:misc_RNA from 1 species